UGGGGAAUAUUGGACAAUGGGCGAAAGCCUGAUCCAGCCAUGCCGCGUGUGUGAAGAAGGCCUUUUGGUUGUAAAGCACUUUAAGCGAGGAGGAGGCUACUUGGAUUAAUACUCUAGGAUAGUGGACGUUACUCGCAGAAUAAGCACCGGCUAACUCUGUGCCAGCAGCCGCGGUAAUACAGAGGGUGCGAGCGUUAAUCGGAUUUACUGGGCGUAAAGCGUGCGUAGGCGGCUUCUUAAGUCGGAUGUGAAAUCCCUGAGCUUAACUUAGGAAUUGCAUUCGAUACUGGGAAGCUAGAGUAUGGGAGAGGAUGGCAGAAUUCCAGGUGUAGCGGUGAAAUGCGUAGAGAUCUGGAGGAAUACCGAUGGCGAAGGCAGCCAUCUGGCCUAAUACUGACGCUGAGGUACGAAAGCAUGGGGAGCAAACAGG
rnacentral:rRNA from 1 species